CCUGAUUCAUUACCCGAGAUUUCUUUUCAAUUCAUUUACAAACAUAUUGGAUUACACUUAUCAAGUCUUUAAAGCUCUGCUUUGCUUACUUUCACACACCCCUUAAAACGUCUUGGUCUUCAUUAAAAGAAUAAUACAGACCAUUAAAGGACCACUCUACAUUCACAAAGCACGUCAGCUUGCUGAAGAGAGUAACUGCAUACCCCCUUGUCUCAAUUCAAUAACGACAAUUCAGGAGAAAUGUCUUUGAAAUACUAUAAAAAUAAUAAAACAUUCUUAAAU